CUACCCUUGACAUGCUAGGAAGCUCGCAGAGAUGUGAGUGUGCCCGAAAGGGAACCUAGACACAGGUGCUGCAUGGCUGUCGUCAGCUCGUGUCGUGAGAUGUUGGGUUAAGUCCCGCAACGAGCGCAACCCUUGCCAUUAGUUGCUACAUUCAGUUGGGCACUCUAAUGGGACUGCCGGUGACAAACCGGAGGAAGGUGGGGAUGACGUCAAGUCCUCAUGGCCCUUAUGGGUAGGGCUUCACACGUAAUACAAUGGCCGGUACAGAGGGCUGCCAACCCGCGAGGGGGAGCAAAUCCCAGAAAGCCGGUCGUAGUCCGGAUUGUUCUCUGCAACUCGAGAGCAUGAAGUCGGAAUCGCUAGUAAUCGCGGAUCAGCAUGUCGCGGUGAAUACGUUCCCGGGUCUUGUACACACCGCCCGUCACACCAUGGGAGUGGGUUUCACCAGAAGUAGUUAGCCUAACCGCAAGGAGGGCGACUACCACGGUGAGAUUCAUGACUGGGGUG
rnacentral:rRNA from 1 species